GGGGUUGUGGCUCAGUGGGAGAGCAUUUGUUUGACAUGCAAAAUGUCUCAGGUUCAAUCCCUGGCAUCUCCA